rnacentral:rRNA from 1 species
AUGGCAGCAGCCAUCGGCGCGGAGGAGCAGGACGUGCCGCUCUUCCACCCCUCCCCGUGCGCGUACUACGUGCAGAGCCCCUCCGCGGCAUCGCACACCCUGAGCCACCCGGCGUCCGAGUCCACAGCGCUCAUCCUCUCGCCGUUUCCCGAGACCGCCUUCGCCGCCCCGCGCCGUAGCGACGACGCCGGCGCCGGCCGCCACGAGCACGACCAGGAGGCCUCCCGCCUCGCCCUGUCCCGCUACUCCUCCUCCCGCGGCUCCAACAACUCCUUCCUCACCGACAAGAAGCCCAGCGGCGGCGGCGGCAGGGGGGCGCGGCAGGUGCUGAGGGUUGUCUCCGGGCGGUCCGACGACGGCGACGGCGACGGCGCUGACCAGAGGAGCGGGGCGUGGAGGUACGUGAAGCUGGACCCGGAGGCGCCAUGCUGCUGCAUCGCGUUCCAGGUGGCGUGGAGGGUGGCCGUCAGCAUGGCGAUCGCGCUCCUCGUCUUCGUCGUGGUCACCAAGCCCGCGCACCCCGGCGUCUCCUUCAAGGUCGGCAAGGUGGAGCGGUUCAGCCUCGGGGAAGGGCUGGACGGCUCCGGCGUGAUCACCAGCUUCCUCAACUGCAACUGCUCCGUGGAGAUGGCCGUGGAGAACCACUCCAAGGUCUUCAGCCUGCACCUCCUCCCUCCGCUGCUCGACAUGUCCUUCGGCCACUUCACCUUCGCAAACUCACAGCAGGGAGAGGGGCCGUACGUCGUCGUCGGGCCGCGAGCCGCUACGACGGUGAGGCUCUUCGUGGCGGCGCAGGAGAAGCCGAUGUACGCGGCGGGGCGCGGCAUGCAGGACCUGCUCGAGUCCGGCAAGGGCGUGCCGGUCGCCAUCACGGUGCGGUCGCGGUCCCGGUACCGCGUGGUAGGGAGCCUGGUCCGGCUCACGUACCGCCACGACUCCCAGUGCGUGCUGUACCUCAGGAGGAGAACGCCGCGGCGGGACAACGCCCUCGCUGCCGCCGGCCACGCCACCUGCUCCGCGGCAGCUCUAUGA